CCUGAUGCAGCCAUGCCGCGUGUGUGAAGAAGGCCUUCGGGUUGUAAAGCACUUUCAGCGAAGAGGAAAGGUUAACGGUUAAUACCCGUUAGCUGUGACGUUACUCGCAGAAGAAGCACCGGCUAACUUCGUGCCAGCAGCCGCGGUAAUACGAGGGGUGCAAGCGUUAAUCGGAAUUACUGGGCGUAAAGCGUACGCAGGCGGUUUGUUAAGCGAGAUGUGAAAGCCCCGGGCUCAACCUGGGAACUGCAUUUCGAACUGGCAAACUAGAGUCUUGUAGAGGGGGGUAGAAUUUCAGGUGUAGCGGUGAAAUGCGUAGAGAUCUGAAGGAAUACCGGUGGCGAAGGCGGCCCCCUGGACAAAGACUGACGCUCAGGUACGAAAGCGUGGGGAGCAAACAGGAUUAGAUACCCUGGUAGUCCACGCCGUAAACGAUGUCUACUCGGAAUUUGGUGUCUUGAACACUGGGUUCUCAAGCUAACGCAUUAAGUAGACCGC
rnacentral:rRNA from 1 species